rnacentral:rRNA from 2 species
CUGCGGCAGCGACACUGUGUGUUGUUGGGUAGGGGAGCGUUCUGUAAGCCUGUGAAGGUGUGUCGUGAGGCAUGCUGGAGGUAUCAGAAGUGCGAAUGCUGACAUAAGUAACGAUAAAGCGGGUGAAAAGCCCGCUCGCCGGAAGACCAAGGGUUCCUGUCCAACGUUAAUCGGGGCAGGGUGAGUCGACCCCUAAGGCGAGGCCGAAAGGCGUAGUCGAUGGGAAACGGGUUAAUAUUCCCGUACUUGGUGUUACUGCGAAGGGGGGACGGAGAAGGCUAUGUUGGCCGGGCGACGGUUGUCCCGGUUUAAGCGUGUAGGUGUGUGUUCCAGGUAAAUCCGGUUCACUUUAACACUGAGGCGUGACGACGAGGCACUACGGUGCUGAAGCAACAAAUGCCCUGCUUCCAGGAAAAGCCUCUAAGCAUCAGGUAACAUCAAAUCGUACCCCAAACCGACACAGGUGGUCAGGUAGAGAAUACCAAGGCGCUUGAGAGAACUCGGGUGAAGGAACUAGGCAAAAUGGUGCCGUAACUUCGGGAGAAGGCACGCUGACACGUAGGUGAAGUGAUUUACUCAUGGAGCUGAAGUCAGUCGAAGAUACCAGCUGGCUGCAACUGUUUAUUAAAAACACAGCACUGUGCAAACACGAAAGUGGACGUAUACGGUGUGACGCCUGCCCGGUGCCGGAAGGUUAAUUGAUGGGGUCAGCGCAAGCGAAGCUCCUGAUCGAAGCCCCGGUAAACGGCGGCCGUAACUAUAACGGUCCUAAGGUAGCGAAAUUCCUUGUCGGGUAAGUUCCGACCUGCACGAAUGGCGUAAUGAUGGCCAGGCUGUCUCCACCCGAGACUCAGUGAAAUUGAACUCGCUGUGAAGAUGCAGUGUACCCGCGGCAAGACGGAAAGACCCCGUGAACCUUUACUAUAGCUUGACACUGAACAUUGAGCCUUGAUGUGUAGGAUAGGUGGGAGGCUUUGAAGUGUGGACGCCAGUCUGCAUGGAGCCGACCUUGAAAUACCACCCUUUAAUGUUUGAUGUUCUAACGUGGACCCGUUACCCGGGUUGCGGACAGUGUCUGGUGGGUAGUUUGACUGGGGCGGUCUCCUCCUAAAGAGUAACGGAGGAGCACGAAGGUUGGCUAAUCCUGGUCGGACAUCAGGAGGUUAGUGCAAUGGCAUAAGCCAGCUUGACUGCGAGCGUGACGGCGCGAGCAGGUGCGAAAGCAGGUCAUAGUGAUCCGGUGGUUCUGAAUGGAAGGGCCAUCGCUCAACGGAUAAAAGGUACUCCGGGGAUAACAGGCUGAUACCGCCCAAGAGUUCAUAUCGACGGCGGUGUUUGGCACCUCGAUGUCGGCUCAUCACAUCCUGGGGCUGAAGUAGGUCCCAAGGGUAUGGCUGUUCGCCAUUUAAAGUGGUACGCGAGCUGGGUUUAGAACGUCGUG